GGCAACAGUGGAUAAAGAAGUAAAAUUGAAAUUAUGAAAGAAUAUAAUCCAACUAGGCUAAACGUUGUCAAAAAGUGCAAAAGAAGAACAAAACUGCAAAAUAUAUGACAGUGGCUUUGAAAAGUUUUGCUGAAAUGGUGAAACUAAAUGCAGAGUACAUAAAGUUCAACACAAUUCAAAAAGCCAAACGCAUUUCCUUGCAAAGUAUCUACUCAAUGAUAGACUGAAUAACACCAGCUCCAACCGUCUUCCCUCCUUCUCUGAUAGCAAAUCUCAUCCCUUGUUCACAAGCCACAGGCACAAUAAGCUCCACAACCAUCUUCACACGAUCACCGGGCAUAACCAUCUUUGACUCCUCAUCCUUAUCAUUCAUAAUGGAGGAGACCCUACCAGUCACAUCAGUGGUCCUCAUGUAAAAUUGAGGCCUAUAACCAGCGAAAAAAGGUGAAUGCCUACCACCCUCUUCCUUCUUCAACACAUAAACAAU
rnacentral:misc_RNA from 1 species